rnacentral:rRNA from 1 species
AUGCACGUAGGAUCCGAUAAUGACACCUUGGAGGAUGACAAGGAAGCAAUCAUGUCGUCUGCUAUACCUAGCAAGGUUGAUCCAUUAGACUUUGUCUACACAAACUUCCCAGACACCACUCACAUCCUGAAGCUCGACUCAAACUGCAAACAAUGCAAGGACAAAAAGUUUGUGUCUGAGACUGACGGUUUCUACUGUCGCAAUGGCCAGAUCAAACUUAGAAAACCGGAGCCAAUCCCAGAGCUGAUGAGGCUAUGGUCAAGCAUGGAUGCAGACUCUAGACAUUUUCGGGAGAACAUACGCUUCUUCAACGGGCAUUUCGCCUUCACAACCCUUGGCGUCAGCCUUGAUGAGAACUACACAAACAUGAAGUCUGGGGUGUACACAUUCCGGGCACAUGGCACCAUCUACCACAAUGUGCAUUCGUUCGGGCCUAGCUCCCGUCCUGAGCAUCUGAAGUUGUACUUCUAUGAUGAUGACCCAACCAUCACUCAUUGUAAGGCGGCCACCAAGCAAUUAGACUAG